rnacentral:misc_RNA from 1 species
GCCCUUGGGUUGCAUCUCCACAGACUUCUGCUCUUGACACAAGUGGUCGUUUUUCUGUGCAAUUGCCUGUCUCAGAAUCCGUUCAAUUGACACCUGUGAAAGAAUCAUCUGUGCUUCAUUCGUCUGGUGCAAAGCCUACUGUUCCAAUGGUUCAAAGUGGAGCCUCGGCUAGUGUUUUUUCUGGGACUACUUCUGUGCUAGAGGCAAAAAUGGUAACAGCAUCAGCCAAUCAAACAUCUUCUGAUCUAAAGCCUAGAAAAAGAAAAAAGGCUUCAGUAUCUGAGAAUCCUGGGAAAAAUGUUUUGCCACCUCAACCUCAUGUGGAACCUAUUGUUGCUUCUGUUGUUUCUGGUCCUGUGUCUACUUCCAUUGCCAUCACAACUUCUGU